rnacentral:rRNA from 1 species
GAUGAACGCUAGCUACAGGCUUAACACAUGCAAGUCGCGGGGCAGCAUGAAUUUAGCUUGCUAAAUUUGAUGGCGACCGGCGCACGGGUGAGUAACGCGUAUCCAACCUUCCCCUGUCCACGGGAUAGCCCGUCGAAAGGCGGAUUAAUACCGUAUGAGGUCACACGAUGGCAUCAGACUGUGACGAAAGGUUUUGCGGACAGGGAUGGGGAUGCGUCCGAUUAGGUAGUCGGCGGGGUAACGGCCCACCGAGCCGACGAUCGGUAGGGGUUCUGAGAGGAAGGUCCCCCACAUUGGAACUGAGACACGGUCCAAACUCCUACGGGAGGCAGCAGUGAGGAAUAUUGGUCAAUGGACGUAAGUCUGAACCAGCCAAGUAGCGUGCAGGAUGACGGCCCUAUGGGUUGUAAACUGCUUUUAUGCGGGGAUAAAGUUGGGGACGCGUCCCUUUUUGCAGGUACCGCAUGAAUAAGGACCGGCUAAUUCCGUG